GCUGGGAUGGCGGAAUUGGCAGACGCGACAGUUUGAGGGGCUGUUGGUUGAAUAGACUGUGGGGGUUCAAAUCCCCCUCCCAGCA
rnacentral:tRNA from 1 species